UACGGGAGGCAGCAGUGGGGAAUAUUGCACAAUGGGCGCAAGCCUGAUGCAGCCAUGCCGCGUGUAUGAAAAAGGCCUUCGGGUUGUAAAGUACUUUCAGUCGUGAGGAAGGUGUUAAGGUUAAUAACCUUAGCAAUUGACGUUAGCGACAGAAGAAGCACCGGCUAACUCCGUGCCAGCAGCCGCGGUAAUACGGAGGGUGCGAGCGUUAAUCGGAAUUACUGGGCGUAAAGGGCACGCAGGCGGUUAAUUAAGUUGGAUGUGAAAUCCCCGGGCUUAACCUGGGAAUGGCAUUCAAGACUGGUUAGCUAGAGUCUUGUAGAGGGGGUAGAAUUCCAUGUGUAGCGGUGAAAUGCGUAGAGAUGUGGAGGAAUACCGGUGGCGAAGGCGGCCCCGGACAAAGACUGACGCUCAUGUGCGAAAGCGUGGGGAGCAAACAGGGAUUAGAUACC
rnacentral:rRNA from 1 species